rnacentral:rRNA from 1 species
GAUGAACGCUGGCGGCGUGCCUAAUACAUGCAAGUCGAGCGAACAGAUGAGGAGCUUGCUCCUCUGACGUUAGCGGCGGACGGGUGAGUAACACGUGGAUAACCUACCUAAGAGACUGGGAUAACUUCGGGAAACCGGAGCUAAUACCGGAUAAUAUAUUGAACCGCAUGGUUCAAUAGUGAAAGACGGUUUUGCUGUCACUUAUAGAUGGAUCCGCGCCGCAUUAGCUAGUUGGUAAGGUAACGGCUUACCAAGGCAACGAUGCGUAGCCGACCUGAGAGGGUGAUCGGCCACACUGGAACUGAGACACGGUCCAGACUCCUACGGGAGGCAGCAGUAGGGAAUCUUCCGCAAUGGGCGAAAGCCUGACGGAGCAACGCCGCGUGAGUGAUGAAGGUCUUCGGAUCGUAAAACUCUGUUAUUAGGGAAGAACAAAUGUGUAAGUAACUAUGCACGUCUUGACGGUACCUAAUCAGAAAGCCACGGCUAACUACGUG